rnacentral:lncRNA from 1 species
CCUCACCAGCACCAGCAGCAAUCGCGCUAAUCGCCAGUUAAUCCCUUCCAAAUCCGCGAUAUUCCCAAGAAUCUUCCUCCUCGCACCCACUCUCCCUCUCUUUCCUCCCAUUGCGCUCCCCACGCGCUCGGAUUCCUGCUCGCUUUCUCCGUCUCCGUCUCCGUCUCGGCCGUCCUCCUUUCCUCCGCCUCGGAUUCGAUCGCCGCGCUCCCCUCUUACCCCUGCUCCUGCCUGCCGCCGCCUUUUUAUC